AGAGUUUGAUCAUAGCUCAGGAUGAACGCUAGCGGUGCGCCUAAAACAUGCAAGUCGAGCGGUUUUUUUUAAUUUCGCAAGAAAUUAAGAAAGAUAGCGGCAAACGGGUGAGUAAUAAGUUAGUACCUGUCUUUAAAUCAGGGAUAAUCUGCCGAAAGGCGGACUAAUACCGGAUGUGGUCUCGUAGUAAUACGAGAUUAAAGUAGCAAUACGUUUAGAGAGGGGCUUACUUCCUAUCAGCUAGUUGGUAAGGUAAUGGCUUACCAAGGCAAUGACGGGUAGUUGGUCUGAGAGGACGAUCAACCACAAUGGAACUGAGACACGGUCCAUACUUCUACGGAAGGCAGCAGUUAGGAAUCUUCCGCAAUGGGCGAAAGCCUGACGGAGCGACACCGCGUGAAGGAUGAAGGAUUUGUUUUUGUAAACUUCUUUUCUGUGGGAAGAUAAUGACGGUACCACAGGAAUAAGGGACGGCUAACUACGUGCCAGCAGCCGCGGUAAUACGUAGGUCCCAAGCGUUAUCCGGAAUUACUGGGCGUAAAGCGUCUGUAGGCGGAGAUGUAAGUUGAAUGCGAAAGACCGGAGCUCAACUCCUUGUUUGUAUUCAAGACUGCAUUUCUAGAAUGAGGGAGAGGUAAGCAGAAUUGUGAGAGUAGGGGUGCAAUCCGUAGAUACUCACAAGAAUACCAAAAGCGAAGGCAGCUUACUGGAACUCUAUUGACGCUGAGAGACGAAAGCGUGGGGAGCAAAAAGGAUUAGAUACCCUUGUAGUCCACGCCCUAAACGAUGAUAGUUAAGUGUUCCCGACUUGUCGGGAGUGCUGAAGCAAACGCAUUAAACUAUCCGCCUGAGAAGUACGGUCGCAAGAUUAAAACUCAAAUGAAUAGACGGGGACCCACACAAGCAGUGGAUCAUGCGGUUUAAUUCGAUGAUAAACGAGGAACCUUACCUAGGCUUGACAUCUAGCAAAUCUUCCGGAAACGGAGGAGUGCCCGCAAGGGAAUGCUAAGACAGGUGUUGCAUGGUUGUCGUCAGCUCGUGCCUUGAGGUGUUCGGUUAAGUCCGUUAACGAGCGUAACCCAUGUCGUUAGUUACAAUGUCUAACGAGACUGCCCGAGUUAAUCGGGAGGAAGGUGUGGAUGAGGUCAAAUCAGCAUGGCCCUUAUGCCUAGGGCUACACGCAUGAUACAAUGGUCGGUACAAAGGGUAACAAUGUAGUAAUACGGAGUUAAUCCUAAAAGCCGAUCUCAGUCCGGAUUGAGGUCUGAAACUCGACCUCAUGAAGUUGGAAUUGCUAGUAAUCGUGAAUCAGACAUGUCACGGUGAAUAUGUUCCUGGGUCUUGUACUCACCGCCCGUCACAGCAUGGGAGGUAUUUUUAUCGGAAGCUUCUGCAGUAAUAGUGGGAAUCAUGGUAAGAAUACUGACUGGGCUGAAGUCGUAACAAGGUA
rnacentral:rRNA from 1 species